rnacentral:misc_RNA from 1 species
AACGCACAUGGCGCCUUCCAGUAUCCUGGGAGGCAUGCCUGUCCGAGCGUCGUUUCAACCCUCGAGCCCCCGUGGCCCGGCGUUGGGGAUCUGCCACGGCAGGCCCCUAAAACCAGUGGCGGACCCGAAGGGCCCUCUCCUUUGCGCAGUAGCAUUCGCCUCGCAUCGGGAGUCCUCGGCGUCCUGCCUCUAAACCCCCCACAAGCCCGCUUCGGCGGCACCAAGGUUGACCUCGGAUCAGGUAGGAAUACCCGCUGAACUUAA